rnacentral:rRNA from 1 species
GGGAAUAUUGCACAAUGGGGGAAACCCUGAUGCAGCGACGCCGCGUGAGUGAAGAAGUAUUUCGGUAUGUAAAGCUCUAUCAGCAGGGAAGAAAAAAGAGUUAAAACUCUUGGACGGUACCUGAGUAAGAAGCCCCGGCUAACUACGUGCCAGCAGCCGCGGUAAUACAUAGGGAGCAAGCGUUAUCCGGAUUUAUUGGGUGUAAAGGGUGCGUAGACGGGAAAUUAAGUUAGUUGUGAAAUCCCUCGGCUUAACUGAGGAACUGCAACUAAAACUGAUUUUCUUGAGUACUGGAGAGGAAAGUGGAAUUCCUAGUGUAGCGGUGAAAUGCGUAGAUAUUAGGAGGAACACCAGUGGCGAAGGCGACUUUCUGGACAGUAACUGACGUUGAGGCACGAAAGUGUGGGGAGCAAACAGG